rnacentral:miRNA from 1 species
UGAAGCCAGCUCUGGUCUGGGC